CCCACAGGCAUCCGCAUCAAGCCCAAAAGGCUAGUUCUUCUCUAUUUCCGCGUUGUUCUCACCGGCGAUAACAUCCGGCGGAGCCCGCCCGUCCACCAUGUCUCUCCUUCCUCCUCCCUUCGCCGUCAAAUUUCUCCGCUCUCUUCCCUCCGCCGCCUCCGCUUCCUCCACUACCGGCGCCGCCUCUGCCUCGGCUUCUUAUUUCUCGAUCCCUCUAAAUAAUGUCAGCUCGCAUAGCAUUCAAAGAAGAUUCGCCGUGGAGGCCGCAGGGAAAAGCCCCAUCGAACCCCAUCUCCCCUUCUCCUCUCUCGCGCUCGAUGCCUCCGCCUCCCCCGAUUCCGCUUCCCUCACCGCCUCCGUUGCAUCGCCGCCCUCCAUUUCGCUUACCCGGUGGAAUCUCGACCAUCGGCACAUCUUUGUGCUGAACUGCGCUGCUUGCGUGGCUGCACUUUCGGCGUUAUGGCUGUUCUUUUCUGCGAUCCCAGCCCUUUUGGCUUUCAAGAGGGCUGCGGAGUCACUCGAGAAGCUGUUGGACGUCACGGCAGAAGAGCUCCCGGACACCAUGGCUGCUGUUAGACUCUCUGGCAUGGAAAUCAGUGAUUUAACCAUGGAGCUCAGUGACCUGGGUCAGGAGAUAACACAGGGUGUCAGAAGCUCUACCCGAGCAGUUCGGAUAGCUGAAGAUAGAUUGCGGCGUCUCACUACUAUGGCUCCAAUUGUGCCGGUGCAGGGAAAAACCACAUGGAAGGAUGAGACUGAGGGACCAGUUGUAGCUAGAACAGCAAGGAACCUGCGGGAGGGGAUUGCAAAGGGACGUGCAAUUUUUGGGGUAAUUUUUAGUGUCACGCAAAUUUCUUGGCGGGCUUUCAACUUUUUGUCUGCACUUGGACGAAAGCAGACUGUCUGACAGCAAGCGGUGAGCUUAUUUGAAAUAUUUCAGCUGCUGGGAAUAGAAGCAUUUACUCUGACCAGAUGUGACUGCCAUACAUUUGUAUUGAAUCAGUCUGUGUUGUGGAAGGCUUAUUGUUAUGUUUUGAGUGGAUCGAUUUGCAGGCUCUAGGUGUAGGCUUACAUGGUGUGAAUAAGAUUUGUCGCUGAACAUGCGAUAUCCUACACUUAAUAGAUACUGCAAGUACUUCCCCAGAUCAGAAUCUUAGAACUAAUUUUGAUUAGGUCCAGGGGCUCCGACUCCGUCGUGCUGGCACAGGGGCUCCUGUUCAUCAGCAGCUGUGCAAGGACUCCUACCAACCGUGCCGAUUUCAGCAAUUUUAGGAGUAUGUUAUCUUUUUUCUUGUGAGAGGAGGAACAAUAUGUUAUCUGUGACCAAGGCUAUGCUAGUAAAAGCCUGAUCUCGAAUACUAAAUAAAUGAACCCAGGUUUGAAAGCCUAAAAGCAACAGCAUAUUAGAUUCUUCUUAAAAAA